GUUGUUUAACUUUUUAAUUUUAACGACGUAUCAUACUGUCAUAGUGUCAUGUGAUGUCUGUGACAGUGUGAUGUGACUGUGCAACUAACUUAAGAUUCAAAACUCAUUACUAGAUGUCGCCAGUGUCGCCCUUGUUGUUCUUAUCGUGGGCGACGAGGUGAAAUCGGCUAUGGGUGAAAUGGGCGAAACAAAUUGGCAAAUUGCUGCUAAUUUCUACUUCUAUUCCUGUAAUUUCAAAUACCGAAUUUAACUUCAUAAGUUCAUAUCUAAUAUCAGCAUAGCCUACUGUCAGUCAUUCCAACAAGUUGACUAGUAGCGCUGAGUCAAUUUCCAUCCAUUAGAUCCUCAUGCUGUCAAAAGCCUAAAACUCAUGUUUGAAGCCCAAAUAUUGUGGAAUAAAAAAUAUGUAUUGAGAUAAGGUAUUUCCCCAUUACUGCUACCAGACCAUUACAAUUCAGAUUUUCAUAAACAUAGGUAUUCUUGCUUGUGAACCAUAGGAUCUUUUCUGAAUUUUGCAAUUUUUAUGGCUGUUUUUACUUCGGUUUAGAAGGCAACCGGCAACCCAGCUUAGAUCUUAGCCGGGUUACCUUCUAAACCCAACUCGAGUUUGAUUAGUUUCAUUUCUUAUAGGUAAAUUUGUGUAAAUUUGUAAAUAACAUAGAUAAUCCUUGUCCCAUUGCUGCUUAGAGUAGUGACAUGAAGAGUGUGAAGUGAAUAACCUGCAAUGUGUAUGUACAUGUACCAGAUCUGUACAUGAAAACAUAGAUAUAUUAUGUACGUAUAAUCAUUUUAUUCUUUCUAACAGAUGCGCAAACACGAAUGUUAUGAAUUUCGUUUUGGGGUCAAUGGAGUUGGCGCUGGUUGCCGUUACUGGCCUUUUGCGACGUCUUGAUAUCAGUUUACAAUAAUAGCUCUGGACUCUAGGGAAUCCAAACUCAUAUUCGAGGUAACCUUGCAGUCAACAUAAGUGAGGAGUUCUUGAUUCGUUAAAAUUUUUGCAUAUCUUCGUUGUGAUUCUUGCAUGCAAGUCAACCUGCAGAAAGGUCUGCCAGUUUGUCCAGACAGGAUGUCCUUCUCGCUUGAAGGUCACGAGAAAAUUACGUAAAACUGGCAUGCGGUGGUGAAGAGGAUGGGUGAGAAUGACACGUGUUUCAUCAUUAUCAAAGCAGACCCAUCCCCAGCAACGUCUACCUAAAGAAGGAAAGGCCAGUUUGCAUUUCAAUCGAAGGUCAUGGAGAUAAAAAAAAAACGUUUCAUGCAGUGGUGUAGAGGUUGGGUGAGAACGGGACGUUUUGCAUCAUUAUCAAGAAGGUAAAAUAACCGCAAGGCUUAAGAGGAGGGGUGAGAAAAAGUCGUAUAAAAGGCGAGAGAAAAGUCGACAUGGAUCAGUCGAGCGAGUAUCUUCGACAAGGGAACAGCUGUAGUGUACUAUUUGCCGUCAGCUGCAUUCUUCAUCGUACUAUCAGUUCUCAACCAUGGGUAAAUUUUCUGUUGUUGUAUGGAGUUAUGUAUCAAUUUCUAUUUUGUUUUCUCUUUGUUAACAUGCCAGAUAAUGUUGCAUAUUAUUUGUUAAAUUAUUUAUUUUUUAGUCGUACAUAAGGGCAAGGAUUAGGCGAAAGAAAUCAGUCGAGUGAGCAUCUCCGGUACGGUAACAGCAACUGCAGUGCACCAUUUGUCACCAACUGCAUUCUUCGUCGAAUUGCUAGUCAAAUCAUGGCAAACUAUGGCGUCGUGCUGCAGUUGUGUGUUGCAUCGUUGAUGGCUGGGUCGGCCACUGGUGUACCGAUGUCUCCUGGGUAUGGCGGCUAACAAAUCGAAACGCCGCCACCUUACUACACAAGAUACGGCUCGACCAGUUGCUACACCGAGGCCCCCAAGUACUGCACCAAGGCUCCAGAUUAUUAUCCUACUACUUAUGCUGCCCUGAGCUACUACACCGAAUCCCCACAGUAUUAUUCUUCCCCGAGCUACAAUACCAAAGGGUCGAUUACUACACCGAUGCUCCGAAGUACUACACCACCAAGACACCGGAGUACUGCACAACUACAUAUCAUGGAGAAAAGGCGAAAGAAAACCGUCGAGUGGUCAUCUCCGACACGGCAACAGUAACUGCAGUGCCAAGGCUCAGUAUUACACCACAAAUUAUGUUGCCCCGAGACUCUACCCCAAAGCGCCUGAGUGCUAUACCGAGGGCACUAAUUUCUACACCACCAAGGCACCGGAGUACUACACUGCAACAUACCCUGCUCCAGAUUAUUACAACGAGGCUCCCCAACACUACACCACCAAGGCACUGCAGUACUACACCACUACAUAUCAUGUAGAGGAAAGGUGAAAGAAUUCAGCAGCCGAGUGAGCAUCUCCGUUACAGCAACAGGAACUACCGUGCACUAUUUGUCAUCAACUUCAUCCUUCGUCGCAUUACAAGUUUUAAAUAAAGUAAACUUUGGCGUCGUGCUGCUGUUGGGCGUUAUAUCGUUGAUGGAUGGAUCGACCACUGGUGUGCUGAUUUCUCCUGGGUAUGGCGGGCGUGAAUAAUCCGUAGCAACCGGUUACUACACUGGGGCCUCCAAAUACUACACCUCCAAGGCUCCAGAGUAUUACACCACAACUUAUGCUGCCCCAAUGUUACUACGCAGAUGCUCCGAAGUAUUUUUCUUCCUCGAGCUUCACUACCUUCACCACGCCACUUACUAAUUAACAACGUCAACACCUACUUACUAUACGAAGGUCUCCAGUACUACGCCACAAAAGCUCCUGACUACUACACCGAGGACCUAACUUGUCACACCACUGAAGCGCCCAAGUAUUGCGCUACAACCUACGUUUCUCCAGCUUACACCACGAUGGCAGCGGAGUACUACACCACGAUGGCAGCGGAGUACUACACCACGAUGGCAGCGGAGUACUACACCACGAUGGCAGCGGAGUACUACACCACGAUGGCAGCGGAGUACUACACCACGAUGGCAGCGGAGUACUACACCACGAUGGCAGCGGAGUACUACACCACGAUGGCAGCGGAGUACUACAUCACGAUGGAAGCGGAGUACUACACCACGAUGGCAGCGGAGUACUACACCACGAUGGCAGCGAAGUACUACACCACGAUGGCAGCGGAGUACUACACCACGAUGGCAGCGGAGUACUACACCACGAUGGCAGCGGAGUACUACACCACGAUGGCAGCGGAGUACAACACCACAAGCUGCUUCCGCAACUUGCUACAUGGAGGUUCCUAAAUGAUAGAGCUGAAAUUUUCAUUUGAUUUUAUUUCCAUUUGUCGGUUGUCUUCACAUUGGUCACUGAGUGAAUUGUUGAAUUUAAAUGAGAAAAUAUAAAUUCUAACGCGGGUAAUUCUUUUGUAAGACUGUUGGUAGUAACUUCAAGCCUGUCGUCAUUUGACAGGUGUCUAUUGGUGUUUCUGCAAGGCCAGUGUUUCUUCACUUCUUCAAGGCCAGUAUCCUGCGCUGUGACAUGUCUGUUUCAUAUUUUGGAGGUGACUAUUGCCUUUAUCUGCAUUCGGACAUGUUCUUGUGUUUUGACGAUGUUACAAGGGUAGGUUACGAAAGGAGGUUGCAACUGUUGAUUUGGGUAAGUCUUAUAAGUAAAAGGCAAGUGGAUGAAUUUUGUAUAAAUGAAAGAAUUUGAAGUUGAGAAAAAUAUAUUGGAACAAUUCCUAAA